AGCUUUGCACAGUGGCAGUAUCAUAGCCAGUGAUGUUUCUCUGAGGUGUGAUUAUUGUUAAUUAAAAACGUGACUCAAAAGGAGUUAGAAAGUUGUCUUCCGGUUGUCUCACCUCUCUGCUGCACACAGC
ensembl:snRNA U4 U4 spliceosomal RNA